CUGAGCCGCGCCCAGUGUGGGUGAUGUUUGGAGGCUUCAGGGGCACCAACAGACAGUGUAGGGGUGCAGAGAAGCUCCCAGAAUGCCUACAGUCAGAUCUGAUCAGCCAGUAUAAAAACGGGACUCUCGCCGAGACUCCGCCCGUUGCCGCGGGUCUCUCGGAGCACGAGCAAGAUGCUGCCGCCGAGAGCCCCCCUCCCCGGGAUGGGGACUCCGCUUGCCUUGCCGCUAUGUGUUCUGAACCAUCUGGAUUUUAAAGACCUCCCAGCCUUAGUUCCAUACGCAUUUCUUUUACAACACAGAAACAAUAGUAAACCCCAGAGCAAAGACUGAAUGCCCUUCCAGAGAGGAAUAAUAAUAAUAUAAUCACCAACAUAAAACAGCUUCAGCCUUCCUGGACUUCUACCAUGUAGAUGGGGGAUCAAGGAUGUACAAAUGAGACAAAAUAGAUCUCCACACCUGCCUAAUAUCUCAGACUCUGACUACUCAUAAAAGUAAGGAGAAAGGACAAAAACCAGACCAUUAAUAUUUUCCAAACUCAAAAGAUCAGCCUGACAACUGCAAAUAUUUUCUAAACAUGAAUAAGUCUUCUUGGCCAUUUUAUCUGAAUGAGUAAAUGACACAAGAGCAACUGCCCUGUCAUAGAGAGCACUGGAGUUGGUCAGAGUCAGCACAGAGAAUUCCAGCUUGCAAAGUCACCAUGGCAGAAAUUACAAGCUUUCCAUGCCACAAAUGGCCCCAGUUGUACCCAAACUGUGUCUGUCAUCCUCCCCUGUGCCUCUAGCAGCACCCAGCAACAGGUACUUCAGAAGAAAGUGCAGCAAACAAGAAAAACAACACACAUGUGGAUUAAGUCACCUCCUGAGCACUUCCUUAUUAGUCCUAAAAGUCUGAGUCUGCAUUUAGUCUUGCAGAUUUUUGUUAGAUUUGAAAACAUUCCAGACCUUUCUUAUGCUUAACUCUAAAAAUGCUUACCUGUGAGGCAAGUUCCUAUUAAAUCUAAUACCUUAGGGUGCUUCUAUAUACACUUUUGAGUUUUUAUUAAUUUUGAGUAUUUUGUUGUGUAUUUAGCAAAUGCUAUACCUGAAUGUUCUACUCAGAAGAAAAACAAAACAACAAAACCAAACCAAAUCAAAAUAAAAAACAAACAAAACAUAUAUCACACAA